rnacentral:rRNA from 1 species
UACGUACGAGGCGAGCGUUAUCCGGAAUUACUGGGCGUAAAGCGCACGCAGGCGGCUCGUUGUGUAGGACGUGAAAUCUCCCGGCCUAACUGGGAGGGGUCGUUCUAAACUAGCGGGCUUGAGGAUGGCAGAGGUUGGUGGAAUUCCUGGUGUAGUGGUGAAAUGCGUAGAGAUCAGGAGGAACACCGGUGGCGAAGGCGGCCAACUGGGCCAUGACUGACGCUGAGGUGCGAAAGCUCGGGGAGCGAACGGG